UUAACUUAUGGCAAUAUACUUGUUUUGCAUCAGUGCAAUAACAAUCCAUUUUCUUUUGUAACAGGAUGCAAUUGUAGAAACUGGUUGGUUGUUUUACCAAGGCUUUGACUGGAAAGUUGUGCUUCCCUUUAAAGAAUCAAGCUUGAUAUGCAGACCCAAUAAAAGCCCCUUGAGAAAACUGGCCUUCAUACCUUGUCAACACAGUCCUGUAUAGGGUUCUUAACCUGUGAGUAUCCUCAUUCUUCUUGGGCAUGGUACAAGAACUCAGGAACCACCAAACAUGAUACAAGCUAUAACACAGGCCAGUUGGGGCAUGCCAGCAUGGCCGAGUGGGACCCAGGUGGAGCACUGCCAGCUGGGGCUCCCUGCUCUGCAACGUGACUGAGAAUAAAAAUCCUACAUUGGUUUUACGUAACAGAAGGUGAACAUCUGAUAAGAAAGGGUGACAAAAGGAAAAGUCAACCAUGCAGAUGUCUCUGGGUAUGUGGGGGAGUGACUGGUCUCACCUUGACUUUAUUCUGCACCUGGGCAGGUGGGUUUGUAAUUGACACGACCAGUGUGCAACUGAACAGACUUUAGUUUUAGGAGCUGGACUUAGACUGCAGUCCUAAAGUUUCAAUUGGCCUGUCCUCAUUCAUGAGAGGCCAGCAGAGAAUUCACGCAGGGAUCAUCUGUGUGGGCAGCUUUUCCAGAUGCCUGAGGCCUUUCCCAUUCUCUUUGGGUCUGGCUGAUACAUGAUGUUAGUGACAGUCAAUUCAUUUGGAAGAGGGAGUGCAAUGACUUUCCCUUUUGCAUAAGAAGUUUUGGGGGUACUGAGAUUUUUAGUUUCCUUUACAAGACCUUCCCGCAAAUAAGUACAAGAGGACCCAGAGUGUGGGGUGUCUGGCUGUCUGAGCAGUUGGGCCACUGACGCUGAGGACAAUGUGAGAAAGCCUGUCCUGGUGGAAGGGAGAGCAAAGGUGGAGAGAAAGGAAGCUCCAUGUUAGUUUUUGAAACACACCACAGCUGAAGGUCAGUCCCCAAAGCUGGUUAUGGUUGAAAGGGAGGAAAAGCUGCUCCCACGUGGCUCUGGCUGAGGCUUCCGAGACUCUGCAGGUGGGGGCCGUCUGUCUUCCCCAGGUGGGAGCUACUUCUUUUUAGAAGCAGGCUCCACGGCGGUUUUCAGGUGUGGCCUUGCCCAGCGUCCCGAUGUUUUGCUUCCUGCCUGGCCUCGGCGCUCUUUGAUGACCUCCUCUUGCCACACACUGUGGUCUCCAUAGGCUGCCCACUGCUGAUCCGAGGCUGGUGGCCCCCAGCACACGUGGGUUUCUGAGGAACACGCUGAGACUCUCGGGCCAUGCCGUGACACAGGGGAGACAGCGUCUGCUCUUUUUCCAUUUUUGUUCGUUUUCAGUGCUCUGACCCUCAGGAAGCCCACUUAAGCAUCCCAGAAUCCAGACGGCCGUGAACAAAGCUGCUGUGGUUUGGGGCUGCAAAACUGGCCCACAGCCCACCUGGAUAACUGAAUCGAACAUGCCUCAGCCGCCCUCACCACAGGCACCAUCCCCCUCACAGAAGUUUGAUGUCUGAUCAUUCAGCACUGGCUGAGCCUCAGAGCUAAAAUGGAAAAUGCAUUUUAUGAGCAGAUAACACAUUUUUGGAAUGGCUACUUUAAACAUUGUGGAUACAGAUUCACAGAGACUAUUUUUAGAUGAAUUAUUUCUUCUAUUUACCAUACUGAUUUGCUGGAAGAAAGAAAAACAAUAUUUUAAAAAGGGAAAACAUUCUUUAAAAGCAGUGACUCUAAAUUUCCCCUGAAGAGCAAAAUGCUGUCUGUGUCUCACUCAAUGUGGUGGCUGCUACAGGAGGAUCUUCCCAGGCCUUCUCAGGGAAUUCCCAUCAGGAUCACAGGAAUGGUACCUGGCAGACACAACCCAGUCUGCACCUUCCAUGGGCCACAGCUGAUGGUACGAGGAGAGGUGUGACAUCUGCCUGACCUCAGCUCUGGGGGUUCCUGUGGGUGGACAGAAGGAGCCCUGGAGGCCCGGCCAGGAUGCGUCAUCUGUGGCUACCACGUGGAUUCUCUGGUGUGCUGAGUCAAGGCAGCGAUCUUCCAAGUGUGGUCGCUGUACCUCCAUCAGCACCUCCUGGGACUUGUCAGGACGCUGACCCGGGCCCCAGCCAAGUUCUGCUGCUGCCUCAGGGGGACAGAGGCAGGGCCUCACUGUCUGAUGAUCCAGCCCUGCAGGGGGCCCGCUGCACCUGCAGGUGUGAGAGCCGCCGCUGAAUUAAGGUGACUGGAAGGUUUCAGGGCAUGGGAGGGAGGUAGAUCAUUUGGGGCUGAGAAGCACUUUUGCAUCUCUUUCCUGCCCAGAAGCGACCAGAGAGGCCAGGCAUUGUCACCUGGAGACUUUGGAAAUGAAGCCCUGAGCUGAUCUAAUAAUUUCUGGCAAAUUCUAUGGGGUUGCUUCAUGAAUUAGGAAAAGCCAUAGAAACUCAAGUGUAAAUCGUGUGUUAUAUCCCAGGGCCGCGCGCUUAAUGUGGACUGUGGAGCUUGUACGCAGCCUGUCACACCCUGCCAGCCUCAAUACGGCUCUCCUUACCCCGGGCCUCUGCACGCACAUAUGAAAGGCAACCUCACCUCUGUGGCUUGCAUGGUUCAGCGAUUCAUACUGUGUUAGUAUUCCUAAUCUAUUUCUAAGUAACUUAAUUUUUCUCGAAAAUAGUAAUUUAAAAUGUUGUCCAUAUAGAUGAAUAACAAUCAGAAAACUUUCCUUAGGGAUGCUAAAACAUCAUUAAUUAGCAAUAAAACAAAUUUAAGUUUUAUGAGCUGUCGUGGCAUUUAUCAUUCUGUAAGAUUGCAAACAUAGUUUUCCAUAGAUGUCAUAAUUCAUUAAGAGAAGUGGUGAAAUUUGGAUGUGUUUGAAAGAACAAGGAACUAGAUUAAACACCCUCUGCUGCACCGCAGGGGCUGACGAGGGAAGACAUAGGUGGUGUCUGAAACGUUCUGUGGCUACAGAGUCCUCUUUCAUAUCCUUCCUUUAGGGAGAGACUCGGGAGAGACUCAGAAGAGAGGUGUUUUCCGGCAAUAGCAGAGCAUAGGAACCUCUUGAUAGACCACUGAGAUGAGUCAGCAUCGGCAGCCUGCACAGGGUGGUGGGGUGGGCUGGGGCCUCAGUGAGUGGGGUGCAGACAGGGGCUUCUCUCCACCUGCCAAGAUUCCACUCAAAUGCUGCGUCUCCCUGAAGCCCCUCCCAUCUUCACAGACCUUCAUUUAACACUUACUGAAGGGUAGAUGGUUGUAUAGCUCACUGAGGUGUCUGACUCCCUGACCAGACUGUGGGACUCUUCAGAAUGAAACAGACUUUUCCUUCUUUAUUUUCCCCGUUUCUAACUUAGUCAUGCACAGAAUAAACGCUUGGUAAGACUCUACUGAAUGAUGAUACUUCUCCAGGACGAAGGUGCCUGUGAAGAAUGGGAAGGCCUGGUGCCGUAGUGUCUUAGAUUCUGAUAUGCCACAUGUCCUGCUUAUCACCCUGAAGUCUCAAAAGAUAAUCAACUUGUUAAACACUGUGCUUUGUACCUACUUCAUUUUUUAAAGAGCUUUUAUUUUGACUGUUGGACAUCACGGUUAUUCUUCCUGAACUCAGCCCUGAUAGUGCAGUGCCCCAGUACAAGUCCCUGGCACAUUGGCCUGGAGUUUAAGGCUCUGCAUACCCCACCCGGGCAUCCUGCUUCCCCUGCACAAUCGCUUUGCUGGAUCAGUGCUAGCUGGGUCUGUCUCUCCAGCGCUUUAGAAGCCGCCCUCCUGCUGUGUCUUCGCUCAUUCUGUUCCCUUCUCCCGGUCCCCCACUGUUUGCUGCUUUGCUUUUUAUUUCUCAAGGCUCAGUUCAAAAGCCACCAUUUCCACCAAGACGUGGUGACCUCAACUGGAUUGGAGACAACGCCUCUCCCCAGCUCCUCUGGAAUAUGGUUCUGUCCUCUGAGCCUGGUAUCGGCGUCGAUGCUGUCUACAUGCGCUGCUGGCUGGUCGCCUACUGGAUGUGUCUGCCCGCUGGGGGAAGGAACCAGGCCCUGGAAUGGGAUCCUGAGUAGGAGCACAGUCUGGAUAUUCCUGCAGGAGUGAAGAGACAUUCUCAGGGCGGAUGUUGCCAGGACAAAGAAACACAAGCAACAACAAGAACAAAACUGGAGGACGCCCCUGACAUGGAUUCGGCACCCUCAUGGCCUUGUUUUAACUUAAUCAACUCUGCAACGACCCUGUCUCCAAUUUUUCAAAGAGCUAAAAGUGGAAAUACCAUUUCACUCAGGAAUCCCAUGACUCAAAGGAAAAUAAAUACUUCUAUCAAAAAGACACAUACACUCACAUGUUUAUCAUGGCACUAUU
rnacentral:lncRNA from 1 species